rnacentral:rRNA from 1 species
AGUGAACGCUGGCGGCGUGCCUAAUACAUGCAAGUCGAACGGACAAGUAAGAGCUUGCUCUUAUGAGUUAGUGGCGCACGGGUGAGUAAUGUAUAGUUAAUCUGCCCUAUGCUGGAGGACAACAGUUAGAAAUGACUGCUAAUACUCCAUACUCCUUCUUAACACAAGUUAAGUUGGGAAAGUUUUUUCGGCAUAGGAUGAGACUAUAUUGUAUCAGCUAGUUGGUGAGGUAAUGGCUCACCAAGGCUAUGACGCAUAACUGGUCUGAGAGGAUGAUCAGUCACACUGGAACUGAGACACGGUCCAGACUCCUACGGGAGGCAGCAGUAGGGAAUAUUGCUCAAUGGGGGAAACCCUGAAGCAGCAACGCCGCGU